AAGGUCAUCACAACCGCAUGCUGUUUUAUCUAGCAGCCAUGCACUUCAAUGAGAAUGCUGAGUCCCCACAACAGAAGACAGCCAAGGAGAAACUAUGUACAGACUUGCCAAACAAUUUAUCAUCAAAGACCCUCUUCCUUAUUGGGAUGCCGUCCAGC